rnacentral:rRNA from 1 species
UACGGGGGGGCAAGCGUUGUUCGGAAUUACUGGGCGUAAAGGGCUCGUAGGUGGCCAACUAAGUCGGACGUGAAAUCCCUCAGCUUAACUGGGGAACUGCGUCCGAUACUGGAUGGCUUGAGUUUGGGAGAGGGAUGCGGAAUUCCAGGUGUAGCGGUGAAAUGCGUAGAUAUCUGGAGGAACACCGGUGGCGAAGGCGGCAUCCUGGACCAACACUGACACUGAGGAGCGAAAGCCAGGGGAGCAAACGGG